rnacentral:rRNA from 1 species
AACGAACGCUGACGGUGUGCCUCAUACAUGCAAGUCGAGCGGGCGUAGCAAUACGUCAGCGGCGGACGGGUGAGUAACACGUGAACAAUCUGCCCUCGAAUUUGGGAUAACAGCUCCAACGAGCUGCUAAUACCGGAUAGGUUAGUCUGAUCGCCUGGUUGGACUAAGAAAGUUGCAAUUGCAACGUUCGAGGAUGAGUUCGCGGCCCAUUAGCUAGUUGGCGGGGUAAAGGCCCACCAAGGCGACGAUGGGUAGCCGGCCUGAGAGGGUGAUCGGCCACAUUGGGACUGAGAUACGGCCCAGACUCCUACGGGAGGCAGCAGUAGGGAAUUUUGCGCAAUGGACGAAAGUCUGACGCAGCAACACCGUGUGAGGGAUGAAGCAUUUCGGUGUGUAAACCUCUGUCGAUGGUGAAUAAAGCAUUCGGGAGUGGAAAGCCCGGGUGUUGAAUGUAGCCAUGAAGGAAGCACCGACUAACUCUGUGCCAGCAGCCGCGGUAAUACAGGGGGUGCAAGCGUUGUUCGGAAUCACUGGGCGUAAAGGGAGCGUAGGCGGAACCAUAAGUCAGAGGUCAAAUCUCCGGGCUCAACCCGGAACUUGCCUUUGAGACUGUGGUUCUUGAGUAUGGUAGAGGUUAGUGGAAUUUCCGGUGUAGCGGUGGAAUGCGUAGAGAUCGGAAAGAACACCAUAGGCGAAGGCGACUAACUGGACCAAUACUGACGCUGAGGCUCGAAAGCGUGGGGAGCAAACAGGAUUAGAUACCCUGGUAGUCCACGCUGUAAACGAUGAACACUAGAUGUCGGGGAGGGGUUCCUUCCCGGUGUCGUCGCUAACGCAGUAAGUGUUCCGCCUGGGGAGUACGCUCGCAAGGGUG